rnacentral:rRNA from 1 species
UGGGGAAUUUUGGACAAUUGGGCGAAAGCCUGAUCCAGCAAUGCCGCGUGUGUGAAGAAGGCCUUCGGGUUGUAAAGCACUUUUGUCCGGAAAGAAAUCCUUGGCUCUAAUACAGUCGGGGGAUGACGGUACCGGAAGAAUAAGCACCGGCUAACUACGUGCCAGCAGCCGCGGUAAUACGUAGGGUGCAAGCGUUAAUCGGAAUUACUGGGCGUAAAGCGUGCGCAGGCGGUUUGCUAAGACCGAUGUGAAAUCCCCGGGCUCAACCUGGGAACUGCAUUGGUGACUGGCAGGCUAGAGUAUGGCAGAGGGGGGUAGAAUUCCACGUGUAGCAGUGAAAUGCGUAGAGAUGUGGAGGAAUACCGAUGGCGAAGGCAGCCCCCUGGGCCAAUACUGACGCUCAUGCACGAAAGCGUGGGGAGCAAACAGGAUUAGAUACCCUGGUAGUCCACGCCCUAAACGAUGUCAACUAGUUGUUGGGGAUUCAUUUCCUUAGUAACGUAGCUAACGCGUGAAGUUGACCGCCUGGGGAGUACGGUCGCAAGAUUAAAACUUAAAUGAAUUGACGGGGUCAUAGCUGUUU